rnacentral:tRNA from 1 species
GCCUCCGUAGCUCAGUUAGGUAGAGCAAUGGGGAAAACCCCCAUCCGCCCUUAGCACCCGGCUUACGACCGGGCGGUCGCAUGUUCGAGCCAUGCCGGAGGCGCCA